rnacentral:lncRNA from 1 species
CAAUCCAGAAACAUGAAGUGUCUGCAAUAGCAUUUCAGCCCUUUUGCUCUUAAGUCAAAGGUCCCAUACCAAUCUCAUGAGUGAAGCAUGGCCUAAUAGUUGAUGGCAGACCUUCAGAAGUGUUACCAGUUGCAACUAACAGAUGUCAGCACGCUUCACUUGCCGCAUCAACAAAGUAGGAAAGUAAGCAUCUAGAAUUUCAGGCGAGUUAAAUAAUUUUAGAGGAAUGGAACGAAAUUUUAAAUCUCACAGAUCACCCUUUUUUCUCUAUGGAAAAUCAAAACAAAAUCGAAAGCAAAUGAAAAAGUAUGAAGCUCAUAUAUAUGAUUAAUGGAAUCUACUCACAUAUCACCCUUUUUUCUCUUUUUCCCACC